rnacentral:rRNA from 1 species
UACGAAGGGGGCUAGCGUUGCUCGGAAUUACUGGGCGUAAAGGGCGCGUAGGCGGCUUACCUAGUCAGGCGUGAAAUUCCUGGGCUCAACCUGGGGGCUGCGUUUGAUACUUGUAGGCUAGAGGAUGGAAGAGGGUCGUGGAAUUCCCAGUGUAGGGGUGAAAUUCGUAGAUAUUGGGAAGAACACCGGUGGCGAGGGCGGCGACCUGGUCCAUUACUGACGCUGAGGCGCGACAGCGUGGGGAGCAAACAGGAUUAGAUACCCUGGUAGUCCACGCCGUAAACGAUGUGCGCUGGAUGUUGGGUGGCCUAGCCACUCAGUGUCGUAGCUAACGCGGUAAGCGCACCGCCUGGGGAGUACGGCCGCAAGGUUGAA